GUACAAGAUGUAAGUUUGUACAAAUUAUAAUUUGUACAGGGUUUUUGUACAAGUUAUAAGUUUUUUGACACCUACCUUCUUGCAACAAGUGAUACAGGUUAAUCUUAUAAAAUGUACUAGUGUAAUGUUUUAAAUUCAAAAAAACAUACUUCAACCUAAUAUUUAGUGCUAUUCUCCUUGUCUUCAAACUGGAAAUGAGGAUACCUGAAUGGUUUAAAUUCUAAUUUUAAUUUUUUU
rnacentral:lncRNA from 1 species